UGUUUCAGACCAAAAAAGACGGCAGUUCCAAGGUACAGCUGCUCAAGACACUGACUGCAUCCCCUCCGUUAGACUUGAAAGUAUUCCACGCCCUCAUUCAACUCCCAGGGUCGCCAAGAUACAGUAUAAUACUAGCAGCCUCCUCUUCAGGUGAUGUACAAUGGGCCAGCUACUCCACAAUGGUUGCUAUAGCUGUGAUGGUGACAACAGGAGUGUUUAGCUGAUGUUUAUAUCGAGCAUGACGUCAUCUAAUCCUAGCUAUAUAUAGAUGACAACAUGUAUAAGAUGAAAUAAAUCUGAAUCACGAACCAGAUUUUGCUUUAAGAUGAGAUAUGACAGGUCAUAACGUCACAGAAAUAAAAAAAAAACACUAGAAAGCCAGUUAUGAUAAUAAACCACUUAAUUGUUUCUUAGUACAAGAACACUAGUCAAGGCUAUCUUAAUUAUUUUUUAUUUGCUACAUGUCUUUGAAUAUUUUCACAUUGAUAACUCACAUUGUUGUUAUCAUUUAAUUUUAGUACCUUGCGUUUGUUAUGAAUUGUCAAUAUGGUGUUCUUUUUAUGUUUUUGUAAAUAAAGUAUUAGGAAAUGUUA